rnacentral:lncRNA from 1 species
AGCAAGCACUCAUAACUGCCAAGCAAUCGCUCCCGUUCCUCUUGCCCCAUACUUUUCAUUUAUUGUAUAUUUUGACACUGUGACAACUGUUAUGGUAAUUAAAAUUUUACUUAUUUAGACCACCUCCUCUGUCAUCUGUUCCUCUAUACCCAUCAUUCCACAGGGAUAGAAUUAGAGCAAGCCAAAUGAGGCCUUCACAUCUGGGCCACAAGUGAAGAGAUGAAGUCUCUUAAAUUAAGUACUCCUUUAAUUCACUAUUUUAAAGCAUCACACUAAGUGCAGAAUAAUUCACAAUGAGCAUAAUCUGAAAUUUUUAAAGAUGGAAUCUUGUUUUGUUUUUAUAUUUCCUGCCUCUGUAGGGCAGAUAAUGAAAGAGACCCACUUGCAUUUGACAUUUUCCUCUGAUGCUCCUUGUUGAGUCAUGAGAGAAGCUGGCAGGUUGUUCUCAUUGAUCAUAGCUUCAAUCUGUAGUUGUGCUAUGCAAACAGAAACAUUCAUUUAAUUUACAAAUCUUUGUUGAAUUUUAAUACAGUUAGUAAGUGUAGGUAGUAGUUAUAUAGUAUAAAUGCAAUUUUAUUUAUUAAUAUAAUUGACAUGUCACAAAUGUCACAAAUGAAACUUUAAAAAAUGUUAAAUAAUUUUUGAAAAGUUACUUUCUUAGUAGGAAAAUUGACCGUUUCUCUGUUUACAGCAGUGAUUACAGCCAUAUGUGAGAUGGUUCAAAACAGGCAGUGUCCCCAUCCCUCCAGCCUGGCUUUCCCAUACAAAGACAGGGUCUUUUACUCCAUCUGGGGUUUUCUCUACUAUAAAUUCAUUGAAUACAUUUCUGGGUGUUGUUUAUUUCUUGGUUACUUCUAACCUAUGGAUUCUUGGCUUUGGUCUUUUUCAUCAUGUCCCAGAGCUACCUAGAUUUUUGAUAAAACUUGGUUAUUGCUUUUCGUUUGUUUUCUCUUUUAAUGAUAUCUGAAUGCAAUAUGUCCUUAGCAUUGUUCUCUAUCCCUACUGCUCUGUUCUCUGCUUCAUCUAGUUUGUUUGUGAUAAGUUGCAUUGUGCUUAUUAUUUUAUUAUAUUUUUCAUUUCUACAGUUGCCUUGCUUUUUAACCUUUCUUGUGUUUCUGAGUUGUGGCUUAUGUGUCCAUUGGGAUGAAUAUCUUUCCCAGUUUACUUAGAAGUAGGCAGCCUUCUCUCUGAGGCCUCAGUCUAUAGUACUACUCCAAGAAUUAAUAGGCAACAAAACAAGGCAUGGAAAUAGAAUUCAAAUCAAUUAAAGCCAGUGACUAAUAGAAAAUAAAAUGGCACAGGCCAGCAAGGUGGCUAUCAGGUAAAGGCAUGUGCCACCAAGCCCAUAGACAGACUCCUACAAAUUGUCUUCUUAUCUCAGCACAUGCACAUGAUAAACACGUGUGCAUGUACAUACAAACAAAUAAAAUAGUGAGUGGUGUUGAGUAGGACAUAAAGUUAGAAAUUACAGUCAGUUAGUAAGAAUAAACAUGAAAUAAAAGGACAGGCAGGUAAAGAGAAGUGUUAAGCUUGUGUAAAAGGGGGGAAAUGAAGAAUAC